CAGUGUGACUCGUCACACUAUCAUUAACUGAAUCCAUAGGUUAAUGAGGCGAACCGGGGGAACUGAAACAUCUAAGUACCCCGAGGAAAAGAAAUCAACCGAGAUUCCCCCAGUAGCGGCGAGCGAACGGGGAGGAGCCCAGAGCCUGAAUCAGCAUGUGUGUUAGUGGAAGCGUCUGGAAAGGCGCGCGAUACAGGGUGACAGCCCCGUACACAAAAGCGCAUGUGCUGUGAGCUCGAUGAGUAGGGCGGGACACGUGGUAUCCUGUCUGAAUAUGGGGGGACCAUCCUCCAAGGCUAAAUACUCCUGACUGACCGAUAGUGAACCAGUACCGUGAGGGAAAGGCGAAAAGAACCCCGGCGAGGGGAGUGAAAAAGAACCUGAAACCGUGUACGUACAAGCAGUGGGAGCACAGGUUUACCUGUGUGACUGCGUA
rnacentral:rRNA from 1 species